rnacentral:lncRNA from 1 species
UUCUCCUAGGAAAAGAAAUUGGAGUUUUGAAUAUUAUUUUGAUCUGCGGAAGUAAUAAAUUUCAGAUUUUUUUAUUUGAUUCAAUUAAUCAGGUUUGCUAUUUCACGUUUAUUUCUGGAUUUCUGUCAUCUAUAUAUGCAAUUAGGAUUUCGAUUUUGUUGUUUUGCAAUCUAUCUAUCUAUCGAUUCAUCCACCACCAGUUGAUGGGUCUUCGACAGUCCGCCGCUCCUGUUUCUGCGAUGACUGGAUCGGGUUCUUCUGAUUUUCCUUGUGCGUUUUUAGGGUUUCAAACGUUAUGGUUCUUUUCUCGGUUUGUAUGUCCUUGGAUUUUUGGCACUUCUAAUGCAUUGAUUAAGUGGAUUAUUCUGAUGGUUUUUAAGACGUUCUUGGAUACGAUAAGGCUGAUAACUAAUAGGGCAUCCUCUGCUUAUAAAUUUGAAUUGUGAGCUCUACCGUUGUGGUUACAAUUGGUAUCCAAGUAUGCUUCCUUCCUUCUGGCGAUGAUCUUCAUUGCGGAAAGGGCGACCUGGAGAUGGGUACUCCCAGUUGAAAACUGAUUCCGUGAAAUCUCCAGGAAUAUGAGCCGACGUAAUAAGGUGUAGAUGUUGUUAUGAAAGGAUGGGUGGAAUGUAAUAAUUCUUAUUGUAUUCCACAUUGCUAAGCUGAGACUUGGUUUCUAGAAUUAUAACCAAUUAGGCACCCUCUCCCUACAAACCGGCAUCCUCUCCCUACAAACCAGUUGAAGGGCGAGGAGUUCUACCCAAUGUGGUGGGUACAGAAAAUUUAUUUUUUGUUGUUGCCCAUUUAGGAUUCUAAUUCUGUAGUUUUUAAUCAGUCUGUAAGUCGGGUAUUCAACAAUAGGAGGGUUUUCUGGCACUUAUUUUGGGUUUCACGGAAUCAGAAAUUUAAGGUUUCUGCUACCUAAAAAGAGUUGGUUUUCUGGAAAUUCCAGGCUACAGUAAAAGUUUGACUAUUGUUGCCUCUCAAUUAGAGUUCUGAUUCACUGGUUUUUAUAUGUUCUUUUCAUUUGCUGGAGGUAUUUUAUCUAGUUUUUGUUAAUAGAAUCUCAGUUAUUGGUUGAGACAGCCACGGAUGGUAUUGAAGUGGAUGGUUUUUUGACCUGUUUCUACUUAGCCUUCAAUGUAGUUGGAUUUUAGAGCUCAGCGUUUUCACAUUUGGAUACUUGUUCAUUUGUGGCUUGCCGCAGAGGAAACGUCUUUGGAGAUCAGAAAUUUGAAUUUGAUGGAUGUACUGUGCUGGAAUUUUGCAUUUGGAUUUCCUAUCUUGGCAAGAAAGAGAUUGUUGUAUGAAUUGAUUAACCUGUAAUUUGUUGUGUGUAUAGUAUUAUAAUGGCGGUCAAGGCUGCAAGGGAAGUCUCUGUCUCCAAUCGACUUGAAGGAGGAUUUCUGAAAAACAGAGUCUGUGUCUACUGGCUUUCUGGGAGAUGCAAUCGGAAUCCAUGCAGGUUCAUGCACAGAGAAUCACCACCAAUCCCGCAAACUAAGCAGAUCCAUUCAGCAUCACCUGAGGAAAGUCAUUACCUAAAAUCCAGCAGAAGGACCUGGAGGAAUACUAACUCUAGUACUCCCAAGAAUGUUACACUUUUAACUAACAGAGGGGCUGGGUCCAAGCGUACAAGUGGUGAAGUUUCCCAACAGGAGGUCCUAGCAAAGAAUGAAAGAAAAAUUGAUCGGAUGGACCAAGAAAUGGUCGUAACCUCCAAAGAAAGUAUCCACUGCCAGCAGACCGUGCAAAAGGCUUUGACCACUGAAUCAGUUGAAUCGGAUAGAAAACCCGUUCAAAAAAUCCAGCCAAACGUAUGCAAGUAUUGGGUUACAGCAAAUUGUGUCCAUGGCGAUAAUUGCAAGGACAUACACUCUUGGUACUGUGGAUCUGGAUUCACAAUGUUGACGAAGUUAGAGGGACACACUAAGGUGCUCAUCUGAUAACAUUGUUUUUUAUUAUUUUCAAAUCAUGUUUAACCUGUUAGUAACUUUUCUCUAUUUUUACACUCUUAUUGGUACUGCUCUUCUUUUAUACUGUUUUUAUUAAAUGCUUUAAGAAACUAUUGCAUACAAUUCUAACAAUAAUUCUUUCUAAUGGAAUUUGUACAGACCAUAACUGGAAUUGCUCUCCCUUCUGGUUCUGACAAGCUAUAUACUGUUAGUAAAGAUAGAACUAUCCGCAUUUGGGACUGCAACAGUGGUCAGGUGGGGAUAAUUUUACUUUCUCUCGUUUAAAAUGUGACAUUGGGUAAAUCAGAUGUGUGAUCAAUAAUUUGGUAUUCCAUCAUUAAUGCAGAGUGCUGGUGCUGUUGAUCUCGAUGGUGAAGUUGGGUGCUUGAUUAGUGAAGGUCCAUGGUUGUUUGCUGGAUUACCGAAGGCUAUUAAGGUAACUGAUGUUCUUCAUGUGGUUAUAUCCAAUCAUAACGGAUUAGUAUUUGUUCAAUUUUUUAGUCUAGUCAAUCCCGUAUUUAUCAUUAUGGAUUUUAUCAUGAUGAAUUUUUUUAUCAUUUAGGCAUGGAACUUCCAAGUUCAAGCUGAACUGUCUCUUAGAGGACCUGUUGGGCAAGUUUAUUCUAUGGUUAUGGACAACGAUAUGCUUUUUGCUGGAACGGAGGUAACUACUACUAGAGGUUUUCAGUGUUUUGCUAUUUUUUAAUUGUAAUUUUGGAUCUGUACAGAAUUGCGAUAACAGUAAUCAGUGGUAGGGUAGUAGUUAAAGGUUGAGGAAGAUUUGGGAAAAGGUUACUCCCUAAAGUUUUGCAUCGUCUUGUUGAAUAUUAACUCUAUUGUGGUUUCUCAUUUUUAUGUAUCUUAAUGGUUCCAGGAAGGUACCAUAUUAGUAUGGAAAUGUGGUACUGAAACCAACAUUCCAGAAUUGACUGCACAGAUGAAGGGACAUACUGGUGCUGUGUGUUCACUUGUACUGGGAGCUAACAGCAGACUUUAUUCGGGUUCGAGUGACAAUACAAUACGG